UACGUAGGGUGCAAGCGUUAAUCGGAAUUACUGGGCGUAAAGGGUGCGUAGGUGGGCAGGUAAGUCAGUGGUGAAAUCUCCGGGCUUAACCCGGAAACUGCCGUUGAUACUAUUUGUCUUGAAUAUUGUGGAGGUAAGCGGAAUAUGUCAUGUAGCGGUGAAAUGCUUAGAUAUGACAUAGAACACCAAUUGCGAAGGCAGCUUACUACACAAUGAUUGACACUGAGGCACGAAAGCGUGGGGAUCAAACAGG
rnacentral:rRNA from 1 species